GGAGGUAGAGAGAGAAAGGGAUGGAGGUAGAGAGAGAAAGGGAUGGAGGUAGAGAGAGAAAGGGAUGGAGGUAGAGAGAGAAAGGGAUGGAGGUAGAGAGAGAAAGGGAUGGAGGUAGAGAGAGAUGGAGGGAGAGGGGGAUAGAGGUAGCGGGGGAUGAGGUAGAGAGAGAAAGGGAUGGAGGUAGAGAGAGAUGGAGGGAGAGGGGACAGAGGUAGAGAGAGAUGGAGGUAGAGGGGGAUGGAGGUAGAGAGAGAAAGGGAUGGAGGUAGAGAGAGAUGGAGGGAGAAGUGGAUGGAGGUAGAGGGGGAUGAGGUAGAGAGAGAAAGGGAUGGAGGUAGAGAGGGAUGGAGGGAGAGGGGACAGAGGUAGAGAGAGAUGGAGGUAGAGGGGGAUGGAGAUAGAGAGAGAAAGGGAUGGAGGUAGAGAGAGAUGGAGGGAGAGGGGGAUGGAGGUAGAGAGAGAAAGGGAUGGAGGUAGAGAUAGAUGGAGGUAGAGGGGGAUGGAGGUAGAGGGGGAUGGAGGUAGAGGGAGAAAGGGAUGGAGGUAGAGAGAUGGAGGGAGAGGGAGAAAGGGAUGGAGGUAGAGGGAGAUGGAGGUAGAGGGAGAAAGGGAUGGAGGUAGAGGGAGAAAGGGAUGGAGGUAGAGGGGAUGGAGG